AUUGAACGCUGGCGGAAUGCUUUACACAUGCAAGUCGAACGGCAGCACGGGAGCUUGCUCCUGGUGGCGAGUGGCGAACGGGUGAGUAAUAUAUCGGAACGUAUCCAAUAAUGGGGGAUAACUAAUCGAAAGGUUGGCUAAUACCGCAUACGCCCUGAGGGGGAAAGCUGGGGAUCGUAAGACCUAGCGUUAAUGGAGCGGCCGAUAUCGGAUUAGCUAGUUGGUGGGGUAAAGGCCUACCAAGGCGACGAUCCGUAGCUGGUCUGAGAGGACGACCAGCCACACUGGAACUGAGACACGGUCCAGACUCCUACGGGAGGCAGCAGUGGGGAAUUUUGGACAAUGGGCGCAAGCCUGAUCCAGCCAUUCCGCGUGAGUGAAGAAGGCCUUCGGGUUGUAAAGCUCUUUCGCAAGGGAAGAAACGUUACGAGCGAAUAACUCGUGAUAAUGACGGUACCUUGAUAAGAAGCACCGGCUAACUACGUGCCAGCCGCCGCAGUAAUAC
rnacentral:rRNA from 1 species